UUGUUACGAGACCGAUAGCGAACAAGUACCGUGAGGGAAAGUUGAAAAGAACUUUNAAGAGAGAGUUCAAGAGUACGUGAAACCGUUCAGGGGUAAACCUGUGAAACCCAAAAGAUCGAAUGAGGAGAUUCAUCGUCAGCGUAUUCAGUAUUAAUACAGGCUAUGAUGUGAUAAUAGAAUCCUUGUGGUCACUAGAUUAUACUUGCUUGUUUUAUUUUUGCUGGGNAUGUCGGCGUGCACUUCUCCUCUAGUAGAACGUCGCAACCCGUUGGAUG
rnacentral:rRNA from 1 species